rnacentral:rRNA from 1 species
GAUGAACGCUGGCGGCGUGCCUAACACAUGCAAGUCGAACGAAGCAAUAAAGACGGAGAUUCGUCAAAGCCUUUAUUGACUUAGUGGCGGACGGGUGAGUAACGCGUGAGCAACCUGCCUUUCAGAGGGGGACAACAGUUGGAAACGGCUGCUAAUACCGCAUAAUGUACAGAGGGGGCAUCCCUUUUGUAUCAAAGGAGAAAUCCGCUGAAAGAUGGGCUCACGUCUGAUUAGCUGGUUGGUGGGGUAAAGGCCUACCAAGGCUGCGAUCAGUAGCCGGACUGAGAGGUUGAACGGCCACAUUGGGACUGAGAUACGGCCCAG